UACGUAGGGGGCAAGCGUUGUCCGGAAUCAUUGGGCGUAAAGAGCGUGUAGGCGGCCCGACAGGUCCGUUGUGAAAACUCGAGGCUCAACCUCGAGACGUCGAUGGAAACCGUCGGGCUAGAGUCCGGAAGAGGAGAGUGGAAUUCCUGGUGUAGCGGUGAAAUGCGCAGAUAUCAGGAGGAACACCCGUGGCGAAAGCGGCUCUCUGGGACGGUACUGACGCUGAGACGCGAAAGCGUGGGGAGCGAACAGG
rnacentral:rRNA from 1 species